GCGCAGCAGGCGAGAAACUUUACAAUGUGCGAAAGCACGAUAAGGGAACUCUGAGUGCCUCCUAAGGAGGCUGUUCAGGUGUCUAAAAGCACCUGAAGGAAGGGCUGGGUAAGACCGGUGCCAGCCGCCGCGGUAACACCGGCAGCCCAAGUGGUAGCCACGUUUAUUGGGUCUAAAGCGUCCGUAGCCGGCUGGGUAAGUUCCUUGGGAAAUUUGGCUGCUUAACAGUCAAGCUUUCAGGGAAUACUGCCCGGCUUGGGACCGGGAGAGGUCAGAGGUACUCCAGGGGUAGGGGUGAAAUCCAUUAAUCCUUGGGGGACCACCGGUAGCGAAGGCGUCUGACCAGACCGGGUCCGACGGUGAGGGACGAAGGCUAGGGGCGCGAACCGGAUUAGAUA
rnacentral:rRNA from 1 species